rnacentral:rRNA from 1 species
CAUGCCGCGUGCAGGAAGACUGCCCUAUGGGUUGUAAACUGCUUUUAUACAGGAAGAAACACUGCUACGUGUAGCAGCUUGACGGUACUGUAAGAAUAAGGAUCGGCUAACUCCGUGCCAGCAGCCGCGGUAAUACGGAGGAUCCAAGCGUUAUCCGGAAUCAUUGGGUUUAAAGGGUCCGUAGGUGGAUAAUUAAGUCAGAGGUGAAAUCCUGCAGCUCAACUGUAGAAUUGCCUUUGAUACUGGUUAUCUUGAGUUAUUAUGAAGUAGUUAGAAUAUGUAGUGUAGCGGUGAAAUGCAUAGAUAUUACAUAGAAUACCAAUUGCGAAGGCAGAUUACUAAUAAUAUACUGACACUGAUGGACGAAAGCGUGGGGAGCGAACAGGAUUAGAUACCCUGGUAGUCCAUNAGUGUCAGUAUAUUAUUAGUAAUCUGCCUUCGCAAUUGGUAUUCUAUGUAAUAUCUAUGCAUUUCACCGCUACACUACAUAUUCUAACUACUUCAUAAUAACUCAAGAUAACCAGUAUCAAAGGCAAUUCUACAGUUGAGCUG